CAGUAUAAUUUUAUUUAUCUUUGCAUUUGCAAGAAGGUUUUACACAUGGUGGCUAUAUGUAUAUAUAAAUAACAUGGAAAUACAGACUCGGCUAAAAUAAAAUACAUAGUUUAUGCAUUAUAAUGUAUUCAUGGCAAAGUUUUUGUGUUUGGCAUAUGAUACUGAUUAAUAAAAUAAAUCAUUGCUAAACAUUAUAUAUAAAUCUCUAAUUGUAAGUGAUAUAUAUGUUGCUGUGUAGCAUGAGUGAUACCUGAUCUCAUAUUUUUGAUAUAUGAUGAUUGAUAAACCUAAAAUCUACUGUAUCACAAACACCAAUAAAUUAACAGACAUAAAAUCAGUUUUGAAGUGAGCAAAAACAGAACAGUGUUGUACUGAAAAUUGCAGAGGUACCAAUAUAUUACAGUACCUCCCCAUUCAAACUUUUUUAAGUAAAAAUGUAAAAGUAAGUUUUCUUAUAGAUUGUUUGCUGUGUACUAUAUAUAUUUUGUUAAAUAGUAAUCAUAGUUAUUAUUCAGGUAUUUUAAUUUAAUGUAUGGAGGUUUAAUUUUUUGUAUGAAGUUAUAUUUUGAGAAAAUGAACUCUUGACUAUGAAUGGAACUGUUGAAUAUUCAUUUCCAGAUUGAGUAAACCAAGAUUAUCUUAUAUAAUAAUAUGUAUAUAUUAUAGGUUUUCAUGACGGUAUGUACAUACUUAGAAUUCAGAUACAAGCAUUGUUCAUUUACCUAGCAUAUGAAGAGUUCAUAUUCAUAUUAUGUUACAAUUGUUAGCAGUUUAUGGAAAUUUAAGUUGUAUAGUCACAGUGUGUUACUGUACAUUUUAUUAGAUCUACAGUAUAUGUUUUUUUCUUCACUCUGGUUUUGUUAAUGUUGCGACAUUUAUCAUUAAAACAAGCAUUUUAAAACCUGUAUUCAUAACACAAACCAAAUGCAAGUAGGGUUUUAUUACUGUUAAGAGAUAGUAUAAUGUACAGCGUUGUUGUUUAGGGGUACAAUUAACUUUACCAUCUUGGGGUGGCUCACUAUCCUUUCAUCUGCCCCUAAUGGUUAUUUUCCAGUAAGCUGUAGCACAUGGAAAGUUGUACAGCGUUGCCUUAUUGGUUGUGCAGCAUAAAGGUACUGCACUAAAACUAAAAAUGAAAUGUUUGUUUGGU